AACCUUUAGCCAAACAAGUAUUAAAGGCGAUGCCUGCCCAGUGAACAAUUAAACGGCCGCGGUACCCUAACCGUGCAAAGGUAGCGUAAUCAUUUGUCUACUAAUUAUAGACCUGUAUGAAAGGCAAAAUGAGGGUCUAACUGUCUCUUAUAAUUUAUCAAUUAAACUGAUCUCCUAGUAAAAAAGCUAGAAUUACCACAUAAGACCAGAAGACCCUGUGAAGCUUAAACUAAAUUAUUAAACCCUAUAAUAACUACUUUCGGUUGGGGCGACCCUGGAAAUAAAAAGAACUUCCACAUACCUAUGACUACUCAUACCCACAGGCCCACUAGCCAAAAACUGACCCAGCAAAGCUGAUAAAUGAACCAAGUUACUCCAGGGAUAACAGCGCAAUCUUCUUCAAGAGCCCAUAUCAAAAAGAAGGUUUACGACCUCGAUGUUGGAUCAGGACAUCCUAAUGGUGCAGCCGCUAUUAAGGGUUCGUUUGUUCAACGAUUAACAGUCCC
rnacentral:rRNA from 1 species